rnacentral:rRNA from 1 species
UACGUAGGGGCCGAGCGUUGUCCGGAAUCACUGGGCGUAAAGCGCACGUAGGCGGACUCUUAAGUCGGUGGUGAAAUCCUGGAGCUCAACUCCAGAACUGCCUUCGAUACUGAGAGUCUCGAGUCCGGGAGAGGUGAGUGGAACUGCGAGUGUAGAGGUGAAGUUCGUAGAUAUUCGCAAGAACACCAGUGGCGAAGGCGGCUCACUGGCCCGGUACUGACGCUGAGGUGCGAAAGCGUGGGGAGCAAACAGG